rnacentral:rRNA from 1 species
AUGACUGUGCCCUACAUUGUGGGGGGAGACUUUAAUAUCCUAAGACAUUCAGGGGAGAAGAAUAAGAAGAUGGUGAACAAUAAAGCCACUGACCUGUUCAACUCCAUUAUCAAUAUGCUAGCUCUUAAGGAAAUUCAUAUUAAUGGGGGAAGAUAUACCUGGACUAACAACCAGACCCAUCCCACGCUAGAAAAGCUUGACCGCAUCCUU